UACAGAGGGUGCGAGCGUUAAUCGGAGUUACUGGGCGUAAAGGGCGCGUAGGCGGUUUUAUAAGUGAGAUGUGAAAGGCCUGGGCUUAACCUAGGAACGGCAUCUUAGACUAUAGGACUAGAGUGCAGUAGAGGGUGGCGGAAUUUCCGGUGUAGCGGUGAAAUGCGUAGAGAUCGGAAGGAACACCAGUGGCGAAGGCGGCCACCUGGACUGUCACUGACGCUGAGGCGCGAGAGCGUGGGUAGCAAACAGG
rnacentral:rRNA from 1 species